CCCCUAAAAAGAGUACAAUAAAUAGGAGGGAGUAAGGUGCAAAAAAAAGAUUAACCAAAAAAUGUAGGGGCCCACGUCUAAUGGAAAUGAAGAAAAGGAAUUGACUGUUAAAGUGGAUAGUCAGGCAAAGAAAUGGCAGUGGCAGGCUAGCAGCCACGUGUGUAUCCUCAACCAAUAAAAAAUCUUGUAUUGCAAUGUGAGGACGACAAAAUUUGGUGAUGUUCCUUAUAUCUUUUUCUACUAUUUUAUUAUAGAAGCACGGGUUGAAGCAGGAUCAUCGUCAUUCCGAGGGCAUUUCGGUCAUUUCACGCAUGCCUUUCAAUCUGAACUCUGAGCCGCCACGUAAUUCAUAUUCUCGACCCUUCUUCCUGGACAAGGCCAAGGUAGUCUGCUAAAGUACUUUUUACACAUUCUCUCUUUUCAUUGUUUCCAAUACCCAAUUGACCAUCUUCUCUAGAGGCCCCAAACAAUAAACACAUGUAUGUAUAUAAUAAACAUAGUCAUUGCUUUGAUGAAUUGAAGGGGCUAAAAAAAGGUUUGAGCUGUGUUUGAAUAGCGUACCAAGGUGGUUCUGGAAGCCAUACUUUUGUGGGUGCUCUCAGUUUACUGUGUAUUUUUCACUGCUAAGUAAGGAAUACUUGGAGCUUUCACCUUUUUUUUUACAGUUUGGUGGAAAUCUGAUUUCAAGAAUCGCAGUAGACUCAAUUCCCAUUUCGCUAUAGUGCUUUUUCGGGUGUUUUAUGUCACAGUUUUUACAAGGAACAGAUUACUCUUGCUUAUGGCAUCCGCAGCAAGCUCCAAUUUGCGGGUGAAGAAAUACUCAUCUACGUUUGGGCAAGUUCAUAGUUGUAGGUUGUCAGACAGUAUUGGUGACUGCAUCACUUACUUUUAUGACUUCCGAGCCAAGUGAACUCUCAGACUAAUUUGUUAGAAGCGUAAGCAGUCUUUGCAUUUUCAUACCGCUGAUCAGAAUUUUUUGAUAUGGUUAUCCGCAAGGGCUAAUAUUGAGAUGUAGUUUGGAAUCAGCUUUGUCCUCUUAAAUUUUCUGAAUUUAUGUAGUUAAUGGAUAUGUGAAAAAGCCUAUAAGUAUGUUAAUGCCGCCAAAACGGAGGUAUGAGAUGCAUUUUACUUUGAAUUAUGUGAAGAUAAUAUAGUGAGAAGAUUGUGGUUGAAUAAAUUACCCAUAUUUGAUUUAGCGAAGUAAUACCUAUCCUCCAUUACAAACAAAGGGAACAGAUAGAAGUGGUGAAUACACAACUAAAUAUUAGUAGUAACCAAUUUAAGCCGAUGUGUGUUCUUACUCGCCAACUCUAACCCUUUUCUUUUCCUCUGCUGAAUUAGUGGCCAUGUUAGGCAACACCUUUCAUAAUAGCUUUAUACCACUCUUUUGAAAAACAAAGUAGUAGUAAACCGUAAAUGUCACUAAUCUAAUAGUGGUAUUUCUACUGCUUCAUUUCCAGAGUGCUUAAGAGAUUUUAGCCAAACAAAACUAGGGAAAGAAAGAGAAGAAGAGAAUCAAUGGCGCUUCUACUGCUUCCCUACUAGAGUGCAUAAGAGCUUUAGUCAAACAUAACUAGGGAAACAAUGAGAAGAAGAGAAUGUUGUUCUGUGUUAGUAUCUAUUUUUGGCCUCUAAAAUUUUAGAAGAUCUAAAAGAGAAGUUUCUUAUUUAGCAUUUUGGAAAUAACAGGGUAAAAGCAAAUAGUGAAAGAAUCUGAGUACUAUGAUGUUCGUGGUGUUCCUUCUGUAGCAUCUCCAGAAGAGAUAUGCAGAGCCUAUUAUCUCAAGGUGAGAGGUGACAUUCUGCAAGUACUUCCAUUACGUGAUUAGAUGUUUGUAGUUGUGACAUAGUUUUCAUACCUGAGAAGAGUUUUCCUACUUUGGCAGCGACUAGAUCUCGUCCCACUUUUGCAUUCAUGGCCAAAACCAACCAUUGGGACUCCGGCUUACAUUGCUCCAGAGGUCUUGUCCGAAAGAGAAUAUGAUGACAAGGUAUCUGUGUAAUUACUUAUGUGAUUUUGUACAUUUGGAGCAGAGGCAAUGAAAUAUUGAAGAAGAUUAAGCUCCCUUAAAUUAAAAAGAUGGCACAUUAAAAAGAUGGCAUUUAGAGUAAAGCCUAUAAAUAUGGGUCAGACCAGAGAUGUAUUUAUUUUGUUUAAAUGUUCAUAAUUAAAUAAAAAGGAUGAAUUCUUGUAAGUUGCUCAACGUGUUAUGAUAGUAGUAGUCUAUUGAAACAAGCUGUCGGAGAAAGUAUCUAGCCUGAGAUUAGCUUGGCUAGGUAUCUUUAAUAGAUGUCAUCUUCAACAUGUUAACUUUUUUCUAUUACAAUGUCUUCUGAAACGAAAUCUGCAUUAGUACUAUUUAAAGCUUAUAGGAGUUUAUAUUAAGAUAUAUGUGAGAUUAUAAAUGAAUCUUUAUGAUAUUGGUUAUGGCCUAAAGUCCUAAAAAAGAUUCCGCUGACCGAGGAAUGAUAAAGACCAAAUGAACAUGUCAAGGGAGCGAUGGGCCAUUUAUGUAUGUUGUGUUAGUAUAGGCGAUGCUCUUUUGGCUUUGCUGUGAGCAUAAAAAUUCAAACCAAACGUCAACAAAGCAGAAGACUUUGGUUUUAAGAUGCAUUUUAGAGGUUCCUUAUGAGCAAAAAGAGGGAGGAAGAAUGAAUGAAACUUGAAAAUAUACCCAAAGAAUAGAUUCAAAAAGAGGAACGAAGAAAGAAACACGUAAAAACAUACCAAAAAUUGGGAGUACAGAUACCUUAAAUUGGAAGCACAGGUGGUUAUGGGAAAGUUGAAAAAAAUCACCAAAAAAAAAAAUAAGAGAGAGAACUCAGGAGUUCUGAGACCCAAUUUUGCUCUUGGGAGUUCUUAGUGUUAGUGAUCUCCUCGCAAUCUAUUUAAAAAGAGACUGAGCUCAUUUGAGAAAGGUAAAAUGAGACGUCGAAAUUAAAGGAAUGAUAAACUAGGUAUAAGGUUGUGUAUUGAGUUACAAAUAGGUGGUCUGACAAAUUAAGACACAGUUGCUACAAUUAAAGGUUGUUCUAGCUUUGGGUGCUUCAUUUUGGCAAUUGAUCAAAAUGAGAACCUAGGACCAACACUUGACGUAUAAUUUAUGGUAGUUAGUAACUGUAAUUCUUUAUAGAUUCACAAUAUACACACAUAUACCAUCGCACAAAACUGAUAAGAUUUUGUUUAAUUGUUGUGCUUUUUAGUGCUAACUUUGCUAUUCAUAGCAAGUUAGAACUUUUUGUGUUUGUUGUAGCAUCCUUGAGUUCCUUUCAACAGCUUUUGUAAAUGUAGAUAUUAGAAUUUUUUUUAUACAACACAAGAGUAUACUGAUUCUGCUAGAAGUUGAGAUCAUUUAAUCAAUUGUACGAGUUCAUUCUUCAUUUAUCACUGUCAAUAACAUUUCCAUUUUCCGUUUUACUGAUAAUUUCAAAUGUUGUUUAGUAUCUACAGAUCAUUGCUAAUAGACUUUUAAUAUUCCCUAGCUUUUCUGAUUCCUUGAGAUAGCUGCUUGCGUGGUAUAGAUAUUUUGGAAACUGAAGAGUGGAGAUGUGUGAUUUUUCAGCCUCUAUACAAGUGAGAGUUGUCUUUAGGUGGAAUUCUUCCACCAACUACCAAUGGCACUAAUAAGCUCAUAUGUAGGGGUUGGACAAGAUUACCAGUCUAUGAAGCUUAUUUUUGUUGGGGAACACCCUUUUAUGUUAGCUCUGUUGGCAGGCAAAUAUGGUCAUUCAAUUGAAGCAUGGGACUAUUUGAAUGAGAACACAAGUUCAUGUGGUGGUGCCCUGAUUGCUUUCAGAAUACUUGAUGCUACUCACGUGAUUUCAUUUUGUUUCUCACCUCUCAUUUAUUCUACCACCUUUGAUCUAAUUGGAAAGUAGGAGAAAGAGAGGGAUAGAAGCAAGAACAAUGGCGGAA